GCAGCUAUCGAUGGGAGUUCCUUCACCAGCAUCUCUUUUAUCUGUCAGGACAUCAUCCAUCCGAAUGUUGUGGUGAGAGAAGUGCUUCAGCUCCCUGAAGGCCAACAAAGAGAGAAAGAGGAAGAGCUUCUUCUCACAGGCUUUCUGGCCCUCAACCCAGAUAACACUGAGAAGUACAUAUUCCUAACCCGUGUAAUGGCUCCAGACUGGGCGUGUAACGUGAGCUGAUGUGAGAAGGCCGACCGCAGGAUGAGCGAGUUCACUUCCUCUUCAGCUGCAAGGGCGUGAUGGCCAUCGGGCGGAAACGUGGUCACCGCUGGGUCACACAUGGGCAGUGGUGCAUGGGAGGGUGUGUCCCUGUGCACUGUUGUGUGGAGGCAUGUACACACCUAUGGUCCUGACAUGACCUCCAUCUAUGAGCACAUGUGGAUUUAUUAAAAGCCUGUGUUUGAUGUC